AGAGUUUGAUCCUGGCUCAGGAUGAACGCUAGCGGCAGGCUUAAUACAUGCAAGUCGUGGGGCAGCGCAGUGUAGCAAUACAUGGGCGGCGACCGGCAAACGGGUGCGGAACACGUACACAACCUUCCUUCAAAUGGGGAAUAGCCCAGGGAAACUUGGAUUAAUACCCCGUAACAUUAUGAAGUGGCAUCACUUUAUAAUUAUAGCUCCGGCGUUUGGAGAUGGGUGUGCGGCUGAUUAGGUAGUUGGCGGGGUAACGGCCCACCAAGCCUUCGAUCAGUAACUGGUGUGAGAGCACGACCAGUCACACGGGCACUGAGACACGGGCCCGACUCCUACGGGAGGCAGCAGUAAGGAAUAUUGGGCAAUGGACGCAAGUCUGACCCAGCCAUGCCGCGUGGAGGAUGAAGGUCCUCUGGAUUGUAAACUUCUUUUCUCUGGGGCGA
rnacentral:rRNA from 1 species